CACAGUAUUUGUGGGCUAUGGCAACCAAUCCCCUUGGGCUUUCUUUUGCUUUAAUUUGCAUAAACACAGGCAUCAUAUGAAUAUUCAGUGAGUGGCUUUGCAUUAAGUAAGUGCCCUUAAUCAGCUUUUCAGUUCAGUUUUAUUGGUUGCACGCACAGUCAGUUAUUUCAUCCAGAAAAUCUGAAGGCCCUACAAACUAACCAGAGUAUGACCACCAUAAAGCAAGGAGACAUUUGGAUGGUCUCCUCUACAGCAGCAGCACAGAUGGUCUACACACAGGCUUCACUGCAGAGGGCUUCUCGCCCUCCCUACUGCUCAAACCAGGUAUUUUACAGAGGCUAGAUACUAACUCCAACGAUAUACUAUUGUUUGAAAUAUUUU
ensembl:lncRNA